rnacentral:lncRNA from 1 species
GCAAUGCAUCGUAUAGACAUGCCAUGGUAUCAUUUAUGUAAUAGGCCAAUUUUGGCCUAGCCCAAUAUUAACCAAAUUUAAAAAACAAAAUAAAAAAAAUUAAUAAAAGUGUCCAAUUAAACAGUCCAAAUUAAAAACCCAAAAAAUAAAAUCUAAAGACCCAAUCCAAAAUACUAAACUCAACCCUUGAAUUAGCCCAAAAUAUUCCCCAAUUAACCGAAACCCUAAAAUCUAAC